AGUCUUUUCUCCCGGAUGGGAAGCAAUGACGUGGGGAGAGAGCGCGGAGGAAGGGAGAGAUCCAGAAAGGUAGAUUCUUCUGUGUAGAUCUGGUUGUUAAUCUCAAAGUAAUCUCAAAGUUACCAUUACUCCUGUGGUCCAGUUGGAAGCACAGUCUCAAUGUGGAUCAUGAAACAAAGGCUGUGAUGGAUGCUGCAGUGUUCACAAGACACGGGUAGAAACUGGAACCACUGUCUUGAAUCAAAAGAUGGAAGAAGCUUCUCUUGAAGAUUAAAGGGACACAAGACAGAAGUUGUCUGUGUCCCUGAGGGCUUAGCAGAGGAGACUUGACCUACUUUCUUGGGCUUGUUGUGACAUCUAUUUUGUUUAAGAUGCCUCUCAAUUUUCAUCUUGUUUUGGAAAUGCUGCAAGGGCAAGAGGAUCCUUUUAAUUAUUCAUCAUUUAGAUGCGCUGAAAGAUGAGGUUAUUCUUCUGAAGACAAGAAGGCAACCCAAAGUAUUAAAUUUACAUUUGGUCAGAAAUGCCACACUCCAGAAGAAUGAACAUGCUUGGAAAAUUUUAAUUUUAUUCAUUUACUAACUUAGUGGGAGAGACAAAGACAAGAUAACAAGCAAAUUAAUAAUUGCAUCUUUGGUAACUUUUCUGAAGAAAAUAAACAUUAGACUCGGUCAGAGAAUAAUGGUGAAAAGGUUGCCCUGGAAAAAGUGAUAAGGAACAGCCUUUUUGGGAUGGUGAAUAUGAAGAGUAUGAAUUACAAUGUUCCUGAAAAGCCACUUUCCUGAGAAGAACUGCAACAGAUUUUCAUGAUAUCAAGAAGGCUUUAUGUUCCUGUAAGAAAGUUUGGCUGUAAGUUCCUAUCAAGAUUCUACAAGAACAUAUUGAUGCUCUGAAAGAUAACCCCAGAAGAGUAUGAGGAGACAUACACAGUCUACACAGAUGGGGUUUCACCGUGUCAGCCAGGAUGGUCCCGAUCUCCUGACCUCGUGAUCUGCCCGCCUCGGCCUCUCAAAGUGCUGGGAUUACAGGCGUGAGCCACCGCGCCUGGACGUAACAUUGCUUUCUUAAUGAUUCACAGAUUUUCUGUCCUCUCCUGAAAAAUAUGCAUUAUCCAUUAAUAUUGUUGCUGUUAUAUGCAAUAUGAGAGAUUUCUUCUGGACUUUGCCCAUAGGAAGGCUAGGAGUGCUGGUCAUCUUAAUUCGUAAAGUAUUUCAUGAAAGUGUAUGUGUGUGUACAUACAUGUCUCUGUGUGUAGGUUUGUGUAAACAUAAGGCUAUGAUAUUUUUUGUGGAAAGUUAGGAAGGCUGAAUUAACUUAAACUCCAUCUGAAACACAAACAGAGGCUCAGGAGUUUGAAAAGCUCCCUGUCAAUAAUCAGACAGAGCCAGGGCAAUGUAAAAUGGAUUGCCAGGGUUGGAAAGGGUGAACCCAUAAGUGACGCCAAUUGUUUCAUGGCAUCUAGAUACAAUCAGUAUUGAAAAACAUUAUCUUUGUGGGUAGCUAUUUGUCUCAUUUCUCCCAUUGUGCUGGAUCCUACAUAAAGAAAUUAUUUUGCCAAUGAUAAAGCCAGACACUAGUGAAAAUGGUAAGGACUCAUUUCAAUCAGUAAUAAUUAUUGCAAUAGAAAAAAAGGGUCCAUUGUGGACUGAACUCAACUUUGAUUUGUACAGAGGUACAGGAAAUUCUAAAGAGAGAACAAGGGAGUAAACAGGAAAGGAGGUGAGCAUGAGUUUGGUAGAGUCAAGGAUGUGAAAAAAUACAAAGGGUUAGUUAGUGUGACUGUGGUCAGGCCAGCUGUGCUUGCUAGCUGGAGAUUAUAGGAGAUAUUUAUCAUCCCAGAGAGACUGGGAGACAGAAGCUCUGUCCUCAGGUGUUGGAUGAAACAAAUAGAAAAAUUUUUGGCAGCCUUGAAUUUUCUCAAACAAGUGCUAUAAGGCGGCCUAGGGUCAUCUUAAGGAUGUGGCCUGGAGGUGUUAGAAAUGAUGUUAGUGUUUGUUGAAGUCUUUAUGGGCCAAAGUUAAAGCCUAGUGGAACAGGAGGCCCAGAGGAGCCUGGCUGGAGUUUGGUCAAAGAGAGAGUCUUUGUUAGUUCCACAGAGAUCAGUGUAAUCAAUUUUCCCAGCUAUUUUCAUGUUUACGAUCAGUGCUUGUUUGUUGAAAAGUUAAGUUAGCUAUCAGAGAGAAAGUAAAUUUGAAAAAUGUAAAACUGAGCUAAAAUGGAACUUCCAUCUGUGUUCUUACUCAAAAAUACAUCAUGCUUUGUAUAUCAGAAAUCCAUAAUUAAUCUUGAAGCUUAUACAAAUUUUUGUGUAAUAUGGUUGGGAAUAUUUCCUUGACUGCUACUAGUACAUGUAUAAGUUUGCUCUGAAUUUAGAAUGCCAUUUAUGCUUAAUGUAGGGAAGAUUAUGUCUCACUUUGCUCCAGAACCAAACAAGAUACAUUCAACUACAAAAUACAGAAUGUAAAUAUAUAGUCUAUUUCAAAAUCUUCAGAAUUUAUUCUGAUGUAUUAUUUAAUAUAAAUACCAGGUUGUUUUAAAAGUUUGACUUAAUAUACUUGACUUAUAGGGACAGUAACUUUUAGAAACUGAAUACAAUAUCUACAUCAUCGAAAAUCCUUAACCUUAUAAAUCUCUAAAAGUGCCUUUAGCUAUAAGUGAUUUAACUGAGAUCUAGAUAAAUCCCAAGUAACAGAAAGGAAAAUGUCUUUUAAGAGAAAAUCUAGAAUAUCAGAUAAGGAGCAAAAACACAAGACAUGUAUCGGUAUAAAAAUAUUUUCUCUUAGCAACAAUUUUUCAUACAGAUGGAAGAAUGUUCUUCCUGAAGCAGGACUCAGUGCUGGGGUACAGAAAAUUGUUCCUGAUGCUAUAAAUUUUUACUGCCAAGAGUUUUAAGAGCUAUAGAUAGUCAGAUUCUGUAAACUAAAGUCAUCUUCCAAAGUGCGAGGUUUCUAGUUGCAUCUUUACUGUAUUUACUCAGGUUGCCGCCAUAUAUAAAGGAGUGCAAGAGUCCAUAAAACUUACUCCCUCUGCUCUUGAAGGUGAACAGCACACUUUAGUAGCAAAAGAAAAUUGGUAGUGAAAGCAAAACAAGGAAAGAAAUCUCUCUGGGCCCUGCUUCUGUUUCUCAAAAGAUUGCCUGUUUUACUUCUCACCAUUGAUUUAUGUUGCCAAAACAAAGAGGUUUUCUCCAAAUUCUCCAAAUUAUUAUCUGAUAUUGAACUGAUUUUAUUAAGAAGAGUGAAGUGAUAGUUCAACUCUACUCAGACAGAAGACAUGUACUUCCAAGAAGACGGAGUUUGCAAAGAUCACAUUAGCACAUAUUCUGUCCAUAGAUUUUCUACUGUGAUUUAGUUGGAUAAGCUUAUGCUACACAUUAGUGUAAUAAGACUAAAAUUAUUGAUUUGUAUGAAAUGUAAAUUAAGUUUUAAAUCUUUAUCAUUGGAAAUGGGUGGUUUAUAUUUUUGUUUUUUUCUUAGUUCAGGACCACUUGAAUCCCCCCAGGAAUCCACUGCAAUUGUUAUAUUCCAUUGUCAGUGAGUGAGAAAGAAAAGAAGGAGGAUGGGUAAGAAAGGGCUUGGAGAGUCUGGGAGCCUAUGUGAGUCUGUGUGCAAAGCAUAUUAACUCUGACUCUGCCCAAAGCUUACAGAGAAGAUAUUCAGGUAUAUAAUAAUACUUUAUCUAGCUAUGGGAUAUAUGGGAGCCAGUAUGUUAUAGUGGUUAAGAAUACAAACUCUAGCAUCACAUAUGGGUUCAAAUCUUCCCUUCAGCUCUUACAAUCUAUGUGGGUUGGACAGGUUAACUAAUUUUCCUCCGCGUCAGUUUCCUUAGUUUAAAAUAAGCAUUUUAAUGGUCUCUAAUGUAGAGGCAAUAAUGCUGAUAGAAGCCUCUUAUAGUAAGCACAUGAUAGUAAUUUAUAUUCCCUUUCAAGUGUUGGAUACCGGAAUGCAGUUAUUCAGAAAUGAUCAUCAUUGAGUUGAUUCAUUAUUGUAAAUGAGUUCAGCUUCUCUCUGACCACCUGAUUUUGUUACCAGUCCAAAUUGAUUAUAAUCACCUUUGCAAUUGUGGCUUACUCAUUAUCUCUGAAAAUAAAAUUUGAGUCUGUGCAUUUAAAAGAAGGAAUGACACAAUUUUUAUUGAAUGAAGUUAAAUGAAAUUCAUCUCAUUUUUUUCUUUUCCUCAUUUCAGAAACUAAAUUGAGAUACUAAAAUGUGAGAUAAAAAACGUUUCUAUGUUUAAAUAUUGUUUACAUCAUGUCCUGGAAUAGAAUGAGAGUUAGAAAUAAAUACAUAUGCCUUUGUGGUGCAUAAAUAAAUGCAUAAUGCCUUAUGGUAUGCA